AUACGUAGGGUGCAAGCGUUAAUCGGAAUUACUGGGCGUAAAGCGUGCGCAGGUGGUUUUGUAAGUCAGAUGUGAAAUCCCCGGGCUUAACCUGGGAACUGCGUUUGAAACUGCAAGGCUAGAGUGUGGCAGAGGGGGGUGGAAUUCCGCGUGUAGCAGUGAAAUGCGUAGAGAUGUGGAGGAACACCGAUGGCGAAGGCAGCCCCCUGGGUCAGCACUGACGCUCAGGCACGAAAGCAUGGGGAGCAAACAGGAUUAGAUACCCCGGUAGUCC
rnacentral:rRNA from 1 species